AUGGUAGACUCUGGACUUCAAUUAAUCCACACCCUCUCGGCCACUCCAUUGGGAACGGAAAUGGAUUCUCGAAGCUUCACUCCUCCGCUCGCUCUCGUCCUCUCCCUUCUUCUCCUCCUCCUCCUCCCUUCCUCUGUGAACCCUAACGCUAGCCCUCGGCGGGCAUACCCUCGGAGCCCAAUCCGAUUCGCAGAGGACCUCAUAAGGGAUCUCAACCUCCAGCCGGUAAUCCAAGAGAUCGAGGGGGAGCAGAAGGGAGACGACUCUUCGAGCCCUCGCCUCGUGGAGAAGAGAAUCAAUCUCGAGAUUCUCGGAGAGUCCGGAUCGGAUAUACCGAUCGAGCAGCUAGGGCAUCACGCCGGAUACUAUCGCCUCGAACACACUCAUGCCGCCAAGAUGUUCUAUUUCUUCUUUGAAUCCCGAGGCAAAAGUAGCGAUCCAGUUGUUAUUUGGCUGACUGGAGGUCCUGGAUGCAGCAGUGAGUUGGCCCUUUUCUAUGAAAAUGGUCCAUUCAAAAUUGCAGACAACAUGUCACUUAUCUGGAAUGACUAUGGUUGGGACAAGGCGUCAAACCUUAUUUUUGUCGACCAGCCCACGGGAACUGGCUUUAGUUAUAGUACAGACUUGCGGGACCUUCGCUAUAGCGAAAAGGGUGUAAGUGAUGACCUAUAUGAUUUUUUGCAGGCAUUUUUUAGAGAGCACCCAAAAUACUUGAAGAAUGACUUCUAUAUAACUGGAGAAUCAUAUGCGGGACACUAUAUUCCUGCUGCUGCUGAAAGAGUUCAUAGAGGGAACAAAGAGAAGCAGGGCCUUCAAUUAAAUCUAAAGGGUUUUGCUAUUGGUAAUGGGCUCACUAAUCCCGAAAUCCAGUAUGGUGCAUAUGCUGAUUAUGCACUUGACAUGGGUAUCAUUGGAGAAAGUGCCUACAAAAGCAUCAGCAAGAUAUACCCCCUUUGUGAACUUGGAGUAAAACUUUGUGGUCCCUCAGGAGUAAUAGGUUGCCUUGCUUCUUACUUUGUUUGCAACUCCAUCUUUACUUCCAUUAUGCUACUCGCUGGAGAUAUGAAUUAUUAUGAUAUUCGAAAAAAGUGUGAGGGAAGCCUUUGCUAUGAUUUAUCGAACAUGGAGAAAUUCCUAAACGAGAAGUCCGUGCGGGAUGCGCUUGGUGUUGGUAACAAGAAAUUUGUUUCAUGUAGUCCUCUUGUUUAUGAAGCCAUGAUUACUGACUGGAUGAAGAAUUUGGAAGUGGGUAUUCCUACUCUGAUUGGUGACGGUAUCAGACUCCUGGUGUAUGCUGGUGAAUAUGACCUCAUAUGCAACUGGUUAGGGAAUUUUAGAUGGGUUAACUCAAUGGAGUGGUCAGGUCAUCAGAUAUUUGCUGAAGCUCCAAUGUUACCAUUUGUCAUUGAUGGCAAGGAAGCAGGACUGUUAAAGUCAUAUGGACCUCUGAGUUUCCUCAAGGUACAUGACGCUGGUCACAUGGUUCCUAUGGAUCAGCCUAGGGCAGCGUUGGAGAUGCUAAAGAGAUGGAUGAAAGGAAAUUUGAGCGAAGGAGGGACCAUUACCGCCGUUGUUGACAUGUAGUAGAAAUACAAGAAUUUCAAACAAUGUACUCCUAAAAGCAUAAGGUUGUCAGCACCCGGAUGCACAUGCGUGACGCUAUAUUUUAGGUGGAUACCAUGAGACCCAUUCUGCCUUUCUUCAGUGGAGGUGGUCACACUGUCACAGUAAGACGGGCCUUGACUGCCCACAUAAUGAUCUCCAGCUGGAUCAGAAGUUCUACUUGAAGUGAUAUGAAAUGAUCCAUCUACCGAUUGAAGUGAAAUGAAAUAAGACAAAAUCCAACUGUGCGUCGAUCGGAGAGAAGCUGUACGUCUCUUUUAUAUCCUGGAUACUGAUUACGUUGGUUUCGCAAUGAAUGCACCACGAUGGUGUAGAUGGCUCCUGGGUCUCUGCCUUUCGGAAUCGCCAAUCCGUGAAGCUGUUUCGUGGCUGUCUGAAUUUACG